GUAGAUAAAGGUUGAAGACUUCUUUAGGUACUUUUUCUCAGAUGAUGCUGUAAACUUCCAUGAGUCUUUCCAUAAAAGAUGUGGUGAUAAAGACUUCAAGUGUAGUUCGUGACGUCCUCAAGAGAAAUUUGGGUAUGCUCGUGAACUAUCUUUCAACAUCCAAUAAGACUUUAUCUUGGAGCAAAAUUUGGUGGCUCACCCAGCACCACCAGCGUCUGCUGUCUUUGCCU